rnacentral:rRNA from 1 species
GGGCCCGCACAAGCGGUGGAGCAUGUGGUUUAAUUCGAUGAUACGCGAGGAACCUUACCAGGGCUUAAAUGCAGUUCGACAGAUUUAGAAAUAAAUCCUUCUUCGGACGAAUUGCAAGGUGCUGCAUGGUUGUCGUCAGCUCGUGCCGUGAGGUGUCAGGUUAAGUCCUAUAACGAGCGCAACCCCUAUUCUUAGUUGCCAGCGGGUAAUGCCGGGAACUCUAAGGAAACUGCCAGCGCAAGCUGUGAGGAAGGUGGGGAUGACGUCAAAUCAUCACGGCCCUUACGUCCUGGGCUACACACGUGCUACAAUGGAUGGUACAAUGGGCAGCCACUACGCGAGUAGGAGCUAA